rnacentral:rRNA from 1 species
GAGGGGCAGCGGGGAAGUAGCAAUACUUCCGCCGGCGACCGGCGCACGGGUGAGUAACACGUAUGGAACCUGCCCGUAGCAGGGGGAUAAGCGGAAGAAAUUCCGUCUAAUAUCGCGUAAUAACUCCGAGAGGCAUCUCCUGGGGUUUAAAGGGUAACACCGGCUACGGAUGGCCAUGCGGCGCAUUAGCUAGUUGGCGGGGUAACGGCCCACCAAGGCGACGAUGCGUAGGGGUUCUGAGAGGAAGGUCCCCCACACUGGUACUGAGACACGGACCAGACUCCUACGGGAGGCAGCAGUGAGGAAUAUUGGUCAAUGGGCGCGAGCCUGAACCAGCCAAGUCGCGUGAGGGAAGACGGUCCUAUGGAUUGUAAACCUCUUUUGUCGGGGAGCAAAAGACGCCACGUGUGGCGUUCCGAGAGUACCCGAAGAAAAAGCAUCGGCUAACUCCGUGCCAGCAGCCGCGGUAAUACGGAGGAUGCGAGCGUUAUCCGGAUUUAUUGGGUUUAAAGGGUGCGCAGGCGGAAGAUCAAGUCAGCGGUAAAAUUGAGAGGCUCAACCUCUUCGAGCCGUUGAAACUGGUUUUCUUGAGUGAGCGAGAAGUAUGCGGAAUGCGUGGUGU